rnacentral:lncRNA from 1 species
GUAACAAAACAUCUCAAAAUAUAAUGCCCACUCUCAACAGGAUGUGAUUAAGCAAGGCGUGAAGAUGAGGGAGCAGGUAUCAUGGUGUGCCAUCUCAGAAGGCUGCUGACAGCAACAAAUAACAGAAGCGAGGCCUUGGAAGUGUUUAUCUGCAACAGGACAAUCACAGUUCACCAUAUAUGAAAGAAGGGAAAACUUUCCAACUUCAAUUUGAAUCCUCUUAACUUUUAUGUUUUCACUGUUCGGAAAGCAUACUCUAGUGGCAUGGAUUAUCCUGAAAGCAAGAUAAUGAAAAUGAAUUUAUAUCUAACCUGAACGUGUUUGGGGAUUUGAGUAUGCAUCCCUAACAUGGGAGAAGUUCACAACAAUUGAAAUAGUUCUGAAACGGAGCUGUAAAGACUGGACUCAAGACAAGCAGACAUUUUCCAUCCUACUGGUCUAUCCCUUUCUGCAAUGCUCUUCCUAUUUAUCUUUCUUAUCAAGAUAUCCUCAUCUCUGAAAUGGACAGAAGGGUCUUUCAUAGGAAGAGUUGCUGUGAGCUCCUUUUAGGGAUUUUGAACUUGUGGACAUUCACUCUAAGAAUGCACACAUAAAUGCACUAUAGUAAACAAAUGGAGUGUUGCUGUGUUGCCCAGGCUGCAGUGGAGUGGCACAAUCAAUUCACUCCUGCCUCUACUUCUCAGGUUCAAGAAAUUCUCCUGCCUCAACCUCCCGAGUAGCUGGGACUACAGGCGCAUGCCACCACGCCCAGCUAAUUUAUGUAUCUUUUUAGUAGAGUGGGAGUUUCACCAUGUUGGCCAGGCUGGUCUCAAACUCCUGACCUCAAAUGAUCCUCCUGCCUCAGCCUCCCAAAGUGCUAGGAUUACAGGCAUGAGCCACUGUGCCCGACCUGCAUUUGUAUUUAUGGAUACAUGUUUGUGUGCAUGUAUUUAUACACAUGCUGGCUGUGACUUAACCAAAACAAAAUCCUAUAAAGUAAAAUGUCCAGAUUUUACAAAACACUUUCAUAAACAAUGAAAGCUUGGUAUCAACAAUACAAAAUGACCUCAAAAACCCAAUCAUUUGUAAAUUGAGUGAUCUACUUGUAAAUUUAAUAAAAACAUGGUAUUAAACAAUAUUCAGAUCAAAGGGAACAUCAUAACAGAUAUGUCAGUUAUCUAGGAAGUAAUGAAAAGGCUAAUUCUGUAUGCCAAAAUCUAUGAUAAACCUGUUUAUAUUCACAAGCUUUCAUUAUUAAAAUGAAAAAAGGCUGAACAUAAAUGAAAUAAUUAUUCAAUAUAAGAAACUAGAAAAAACAAUUAAAAUAGUAAAAUAAAAGAGAAUAAAGAUAAAAACGGAAAUUACUAAAAUAGUAUAAAUAGUAGCCAACAGAAAUAUAUCCAAACAUCAUUUCUCUGAAAAUAACUAUAAAACAGAAAAAGUACUAGCAUAUUAGAUUGAGAAAAAAUAAGAUGGCACAAAGAAAUGAAUGAGAUUAUGAAUAAAAAGGCAAUAAAAUCACAGAUUUAAGAGAUUAAAAGAAACAUUAUAAGUGCCGGCCGACACCCCGUCUGGGAGGUAAGGAGCGCCUCUGCCUGGCCGCCCCGUCUGGGAGGUGGGGAGCGCCUCUGCCCGGCCACCCCGUCUAGGAAGUGAGUGCCUCUGCCCGGCCGCCCCGUCUGGGAAGUGAGGAGCACCUCUGCCCCGCCGCCCCGUCUGGGAGGUGUACCCAACAGCUCCGAAGAGACAGCGACCAUCGAGAAUGGGCCAUGAUGACGAUGGCGGUUUUGUCGAAAAGAAAAGGGGGAAAUGUGGGGAAAAGAAAGAGAGAACAGAUUGUUACUGUGUCUAUAUAGAAAGAAGUAGACAUAGGAGACUCCAUUUUGUUCUGUACUAAGAAAAAUUCUUCUGCCUUGGGAUGCUGUUAAUCUAUAACCUUACCCCCAACCCCGUGCUCUCUGAAACAUGUGCUGUGUCCACUCAGGGUUAAAUGGAUUAAGGGCA